CGUAAAGAGUGAGCAGGCGGCCGUUUAAGUCUGAAGUCAAAUGCAAUAGCUUAACUAUUGCUCGCUUUGGAAACUGGAUGGCUAGAGUUCGGGAGAGGUAAAUGGAACUUCAUGUGUAGCGGUGAAAUGCGUAGAUAUAUGAAAGAACACCAGUGGCGAAGGCGAUUUACUAGACCGAUACUGACGCUCAGUCACGAAAGCGUGGGUAGCAAAUAGGAUUAGAUACCCUAGUAGUCCACGCCGUAAACGAUGAGUACUAAGUGUAGGGGAAACUCUGUGCUGAAGUUAACGCAUUAAGUACUCCGCCUGGGUAGUACGUUCGCAAGAAUGAAACUUAAAGGAAUUGACGGGGGCCCGCACAAGCAGUGGAGCAUGUGGUUUAAUUCGACGCUACGCGAAGAACCUUACCAGGACUUGACAUGGAAUUAAAGGCCGUAGAGAUACGGAGAUAGUUAUAGUUCACACAGGUGGUGCAUGGUUGUCGUCAGCUCGUGUCGUGAGAUGUUGGGUUAAGUCCCGCAACGAGCGCAACCCUUGUCCUUAGUUACCAUCAUUAAGUUGGGGACUCUAAGGAGACCGCCGGUACAAGCCGGAGGAAGAUGGGGAUGACGUCAAAUCAUCAUGCCCUUUAUGUCCUGGGCGACACACGUGCUACAAUGGUCGGUACAAAGAGCAGCGAGACAGCGAUGUUAAGCGAAUCUCAAAAAGCCGAUCUCAGUUCGGAUUGGAGUCUGCAACUCGACUCUAUGAAGCUGGAAUUGCUAGUAAUCG
rnacentral:rRNA from 1 species